rnacentral:rRNA from 1 species
ACUCCUGGGAGGCAGCAGUGGGGAAUUUUGCGCAAUGGGGGAAACCCUGACGCAGCAACGCCGCGUGGGUGAUGAAGGCCUUCGGGUCGUAAAGCUCUGUCUGGAGGGAAGAAAUGAUUGGGAGCUAAUACCUCUUGAUCCUGACGGUACCUCUGAAGGAAGCACCGGCUAACUCCGUGCCAGCAGCCGCGGUAAU